UGCCAGCCGCCGCGGUAAUACGGAGGGUGCAAGCGUUAAUCGGAUUUAUUGGGCGUAAAGGGCGCGUAGGCGGGAGUGAAAGUCAGAUGUGAAAUCCCUCGGCUCAACCGAGGAACUGCGCCCAAAACUAUUAAACUUGAGUAUAUGAGGGGGGUACUGUAUUUAUAAUGGAAAGGUAAAAUUUUGGGAUAUUAUAAAGACAACCAAAGGCGAAGGCGGUGCUCUGGUGUAUACUGACAUUGAGGUACGAAAGUAUAGGUAGCGAACAGGAUUAGAUA
rnacentral:rRNA from 1 species